rnacentral:sRNA from 1 species
AAGAGCUCUGGAAACUGAAGUCCUCUCUUUAUCCACAGAGAAGGUACACAGCCCAGGUGGCAGCUGUCUCAGCUUCCCCAUUCUGUCUCAGCCCUGACCUAGAGAGAGAACUUCUUCUAUUCAUGGCCUCACUCUGUGUGAGAU